AGCGAAAGGGGAGAAGCCCAAACCGGGCCCUACGGGGUUCGGGGUUGUAGGACCUGCGCGAGUUGUGUUAUUGGAAGUCGAAUGGGUCUGGAAAGCCCAGCCACAGACGGUGAUAGUCCGGUAGGCGUAACGAUGACAUGAUGGCGGGUAUCCUGAGUAGCGCGAGGCCGGUGAAACCUUGCGUGAAUUUGCCGGCACCAUCCGGUAAGGCUAAAUACAUCUGCAUGACCGA
rnacentral:rRNA from 1 species